rnacentral:lncRNA from 7 species
GCGUUUUGAGCGUUUUAUUUGCCACCUGCUAGAAUUUGGCCGAGCCCAAUUCCCGCCCAGCCGCCCAGGUUUAGGGUUAGCGCUAUCUGGUCGCACUCCAGGCCGCCGCUUCUCCCCGUGCAGUCUCCUCCCUCCCCCGGCCGUGCUCCAGGCCACCGCCUUCUCCCCCAUGCAGCCGCCUCCUCCCGUGCAACCUCCUCCCUCCCCCUUGCUCAGCCGCUCAGCUCCGCCUGUCCGCCCCCCGCCAGCCCCGCCUCCUUUGGCUUGCUAUUGCUCGCUUGUUGUCCGGCCGCCCUGUCCCGCACUCCCGCUGUCCGCCCGUCGGCCUGUCCCACUGUCCGCUUGCUGUUGCUCGCUUGUUGUUGCCCUGCUGUCCCGCACUCCCACUGCCCCGUUGUUCCUCGCUUGCUGUUGCUUCAGCAGUUGCUCAAACAAACAGCUUUGCGUCUGUUCCUGUUCCUGUUGCUCGCUUGCUGAAGGUAAUGUGGUUGUGGACAUGUCAUUUUGC